rnacentral:rRNA from 1 species
GAUGAACGCUAGCGGCAGGCCUAAUACAUGCAAGUCGAACGAGAUUGUAGAGCUUGCUUUGCAAUCUAGUGGCGCACGGGUGCGUAACGCGUAUGCAACCUACCUUUAUCAGGGGGAUAGCCUCUCGAAAGAGAGAUUAACACCGCAUAAUAUUAUUGAAUGGCAUCAUUUGAUAAUCAAAUAUUUAUAGGAUAAAGAUGGGCAUGCGUGACAUUAGCUAGUUGGUAAGGUAACGGCUUACCAAGGCUACGAUGUCUAGGGGAUCUGAGAGGAUGACCCCCCANACUGGUACUGAGACACGGACCAGACUCCUACGGGA